UACGUAGGGUGCAAACGUUAAUCGGAAUUACUGGGCGUAAAGCGUGCGCAGGCGGUUUUGUAAGACAGAUGUGAAAUCCCCGGGCUUAACCUGGGAAUUGCAUUUGUGACUGCACGGCUAGAGUGUGUCAGAGGGGGGUAGAAUUCCACGUGUAGCAGUGAAAUGCGUAGAUAUGUGGAGGAAUACCGAUGGCGAAGGCAGCCCCCUGGGAUAACACUGACGCCCAUGCACAGAAAGCGUGGGGAGCAACAGG
rnacentral:rRNA from 1 species